rnacentral:rRNA from 1 species
UACAGAGGGGGCGAGCGUUAUUCGGAAUUAUUGGGCGUAAAGGGCGCGUAGGCGGCUUUGCAAGUGACGGGUGAAAGCCCUCGGCUUAACCGAGGAACUGCCUGUCAGACUGUGAGGCUUGAGACCGGGAGAGGUGAGUGGAAUUCCCAGUGUAGCGGUGAAAUGCGUAGAUAUUGGGAGGAACACCAGUGGCGAAGGCGGCUCACUGGACCGGUACUGACGCUGAGGCGCGAAAGCGUGGGGAGCAAACAGG